UUUCCUUUUCCUAAAAAAUCCCAAAAUGCAACCAUCGUCUUCCCCUACGAUUUCGCCAGCAACUCGCCAACACCUUUCCCCAAUUCUUUGAUUUGUUUCCUUUUUUAAAAUAUUCUUUUUAACUUUCUUUCCUCAAUUCUUUUCCUCUUCAAAUCUGUAAAGAAAUUGUGAUUGAGAACCGAGAUUUUAGUUUCAGUUUUGGUCUAAAUCCCUGUCGUGAGUGAAGGUUUGCAUGCUUUUCUUUCCAUAUCGGCAUCCGCAUGUUCAAAUUAGUUAGAUGAAUAUGGACAGGUUUUGAGGCAAGCACUUCACCUAUUUUUCAUUUUCUCUUAUCGAUUGGAUUGAGUUUUGAAAAUUGAAUUAUCAAUAUUUUCUUCUGAUUUUUUCGAUUAUGUAAAGCGAAGUUUUCCCAUAAUCAUAAUCUUUUUCUGCCAAAAUUAAUCACCAACGGUUCAUUUUUUAGUUCGAAUACUCCAAUUUCGCUUCAGUCCCCGAAUCCUUGCUUAACGGGAAUUUUGAUAUUUUUAAAAAAAAUCUGAACCUUUCUUUAUUUGAUAUCUAGUUUUAUGAAUCUUUUCCAUUAUAGUGACACGCCCUAAGGCUAAUUCGCUAUUAUAAAUACUGACUAGUUCUAUGCACUUAAGGAGGAUGGUUUUCACUACUACUAUAGCUAUUCUUUUACUUUUAUUGCUCCUCUGUUCUUCCGAGUACAAAUCGAGGCAGAGCUUUAAUCUUUAUAUUUGUCCAAAUACAAAGUUCUAGUUUUGAUAUUCGUUUGAUACAACCUGGACGUAUCGAGUUCGAGUAUUGGUUCUUCAUUAUGCACACUCCGGAGAGUAUUUGGGCUUAUUUGUUGUUAUUGAAGUUACUGGAUUUCUAAUCUUCUUAUUAUAUUGUUGUUCCGCUUUCGAACAGACUAUCGAGUCGUAUUUCUCAACAGGUUAUUUACAUGACUAAACUGCAAACAGUUUAAACCAAUUACUUGAAGGAUGGCCUAAUUCGAGCAUUGGGAGAGAAUUUGGAGUUGCCUGGGAAGGGGAAAGUUUAAAAGGAUUAUUGUGUUGGAAUUUACUUGGCGACUGAAGCUCAUUAGUUUAGCUUGUGUUGUAAUGUUGGUCUUGUAAUGCUACAAAAAAAGGGUUGAUAGGGGCUGGAACUUGUUUGUCACUUGUUGCUGCUAUGUGCUAUUUGCUAUCGUGGUUUGUUUCUAUUUUUACUAAUCAUUGAAGUCAUGCUUUCAUUUUCAA